ACAACUGGCCACUCUUUUUACCUGUGAAUCGUCCAUUUGAUCAACAUCAUUUUACCUUAUCAUUACAAGUAUCUUCAACAUAUAUCCUUCAACUACCAACCUGAUUUUGAUCAUGAAAAAAUACCUUCAAUCUAAUUCCAAACAGAGCAACUCUGAUCGCUUGUCGUUACCAUCACCUUUACCUUAACCAUCCACAUCAUCAUCAACAUUAACUUCAUUCUUUUUUUAUCUUUUUCUUUCUUAUCAUCUUUUAUCAUCUUUUCCCUCUCUAUCUAGGUUUCUUCAGUAGUUCAAUAUUUACCCAUAGGCAAUGUCAACAAGAUGAUUCUGGUAAAUGAAACAUGAAGAAACCUCUUUUUAUGCUAACCCAAAACUCUGAUCAUGAUAAUGAUGGUUCUUUUUUUCUCCUUUUUUCACUUUAUACCUUCAAUUUAUCCAAAGUAUUGAGUUAAACGAAUAAGCCAAAUCAAAUUUCAAAUCAACCCAUGGUUGGUAUCAAAGCCAAUCAAUCAUAGAAAUGGUUAACUCAUUGUUUCCAUCAACACGUUUUGUUUACCAAACAUAACCAGCCUUUCCGAUGAUACAUCAGGUUAAAGCUUCAACAUGUUACUAGCAUAGUUAUUGGUAAUAACAACCAAUAAAAAGAUGAAAAUGAUGCUGCUUUUGCUGAUGAACGAUGAUGAUAAUAAUAAUGGUAGAAGCAACUUUGAUAUAAACUCUUAAUGAUUCAAGAUGAAAAGGAGCUGUAAAUUGAGAUAAAAUUUGGAUUCAAUCAUUCCUCUUAACCCAACAACACCGCCAUGAAAUUCAAUGCAAAGACAAGUGUUAACCAUACAAUGGAUGUUCAAUGAUCAAAUGUAAACCUUGUUAUGAAAAUAUUGCUAAUAAUUGUUGGUCCUGGUUGAGACAAAAAUCAUUUUUAUUGGCAAAAAUGUGAUUCCAAGCUCCACCUUUAACCCCCAAAAAUACAAUACAACUCCUCCUGUAUUUGACUGUCAAUGAGGAUGAAAGGGAUGAAGAUGAAGAUUACCUCUACAACAUCAACAUAAGUCUCUGUAAAGAUGAUGAUAAGAGUUAACACUUAUUAUUGUUAUACCAAAGUUGGGAGUGAAAAUUUGAUGAUAACACAAGAAUUAUAUACAUUUUAUGGAUAACCUGAUAACAAAAUCAAUUUCAAUUAACUUGAUCAACAUUUACUUUUUCAUUUCUUUUUUUGGUGUUAACCAGAUAAACAGAUUAAUAGUAAAUCAAGAUUGUUAUCUUCAAAACACAAUAAUAAUCAAUAGCUAGAGUUGAGUAAUGAAACAGAUUCAACAACAGUUAUAACAGUUUUCAUUUCCACUGAAACUCACUUGAUAUUACGCAUAAAACAACCUUGUCCUCCUGUUUAAAUUUUUAUUGAAGUCAUUACUUUGUUUAAUGAACUCACCUUCUGAUGAAGGGAAAUCAAAUUACGAUAUAAUUGUUGAAAAGCAAAUACAAAAAUACCAAUAAAAUAUUAAAAAACUGAAUU